UCUGUCGCGAACGCAUUGUGGAUUGUCAAGUAUUACUCAAGUCAGUCUUUUGGAUAAGGUUAGACAUCAACUUUCAGAGAAGGGGGAUUGCUGCUCUCCUGUUAUAGUUGUUUCUUCCCAGAGGUUAAUAUCCUUGGACUUUGAACACCAUCUUUUUUGACAGUGGACAUGCUAUUAACAGUCAGGAUCAUAACUAAGUUGGCUUGGAUUCUUUAAGAAAAAAAUGGUGCAAAGAUGGCAGUUGCAAUUUGAACUUGAGCUCUAAAAAUGGUCUAUUUGUGGUUAUAUUUGCCCAUUUUAAAAGUGAAAUUUCAUUUCUGGAUGCCUUUGAAAACUGACUUCACAUGUGUUUUUGGUGGGGGGCUGGGGAUUCUCUCUUGCAGUCUGGCCUUACCAAGGCAGUGAAGGAGAGUACAAUUACAUUGCAGCAGGCAGAGUAUGAAUUUCUGUCCUUUGUACGACAGCAGACUCCUCCAGGGCUCUGUCCACUUGCAGGAAAUUCAGUUCAUGAAGAUAAGAAGUUUCUUGACAAAUACAUGCCCCAGUUCAUGAAACAUCUUCAUUAUAGAAUAAUUGAUGUGAGCACUGUUAAAGAACUGUGCAGACGCUGGUAUCCAGAAGAAUAUGAAUUUGCACCAAAGAAGGCUGCUUCUCAUAGGGCACUUGAUGACAUUAGUGAAAGCAUCAAAGAGCUUCAGUUUUACCGAAAUAAUAUCUUCAAGAAAAAAAUAGAUGAAAAGAAGAGGAAAAUUAUAGAAAAUGGGGAAAAUGAGAAGACCGUGAGUUGAUGCCAGUUAUCAUGCUGCCACUACAUAGUUAUCUGGAGGCAACUUCUGGUGGUUUUUUUUUUUCCUCACGCUGAUGGCUUGGCAGAGCACCUUCGGUUAACUUGCAUCUCCAGAUUGAUUACUCAAGCAGACAGCACACGAAAUACUAUUUUUCUCCUAAUAUGCUGUUUCCAUUAUGACACAGCAGCUCCUUUGUAAGUACCAGGUCAUGUCCAUCCCUUGGUACAUAUAUGCAUUUGCUUUUAAACCAUUUCUUUUGUUUAAAUAAAUAAAUAAGUAAAUAAAGCUAGUUC
rnacentral:sRNA from 1 species